UUCCUGAAGACCUUAAAUCCAGGCCAUUUACUCUUGAUUUGUCCAACCUAAUUCUCAAUGUCCCCAGGGCUUGACCACCAUAUCCGACCUUCCUCACCAAACUUGGAAAUCCAAUGACUGGAGUCUUUUGGAUCCAUCUGCAGUCUUCCUCUGCAGAUGCCUGCGAGGACCAGCAGUGCUUAGAUCAGCAAGAAUGGAGAGAAGAGAGGAGGGGGAUUUCAGUACUCGUUUCCUUCCAUCUCUGUCCCACUGGGCAGUACAAUCUCCCCUUCCAAACUCCUGAAUCCUCUCCUAUCAGGGCAUGUUCUGAUUCAGUGUUUGACCCAGCCCACCACACUGCAGUAGGAUUGAGCUGCUAAGAGACACUUGGCCAAACGCUGGGUCUCAGUUACACCCCCAAAUAGCCAGAGUAACUCCAGUGAGGUCAGGCAAGUUCCUCGGGACUGAACAGAGCAGAAUUUUGCACAGUCUGGGGGUCACAGUUUGGUGGUCACUCUGUGGUCAGUACAUGGUCACUGUCUUGGAAACAGCGGUGCUAGCUUCAGGAACAAUAGCCCAUUAGGGGAAAGGAAUAAAUACAAAGUUCUCUGAAGGGACUUGCCCUGCCUCAGCCUCUCUGCACCAAUCGGUGUGUCCUCUGAGAGACGCCUUUCCUGCCUACGCUCCAAGCCUCUCCCUGGGGAGGGCAAGAGGUGGCCAAGCAGGGAAGGUCUGACUUCUGUUUCUGAAUUUGCAGAUGUGCCAUUGAGCUGUGGAAGGCCUUGGAUGAAGAACCACAGCUCACCAGGGAGGUGCUGCAGCAGCUGCUGGACAAGCUCCAGCAGAGACGCUGGGAGGAGAAGAGCGGCAAUGUGUCUCUGGCUGCAAUGAGGACCAUUUACGAGGUCCUUUUCCUAUGGGGAUACCGAGAAGCCAUCCUGGAAAUGUAUCCCCAGAUGCUCAUCCUCUGCGUCAGGCAAGUGCAGUAUGUGAUGGAUCUGCGCUUGCCAGGGACCUACAGGGCCAGCGAGACAUCCAGCCCCGAGGAGGGAUCCAGCCACCUCAGCCCCCUAAGCACGUCAGUGGAGGCUGUGAAGACUCUUUUCUCCAUGCCCGGAUACUGGAAGGAAUUUGCCGGCAUCCAGUUACAGCAGGGUUGGGACAUGAUA